rnacentral:rRNA from 1 species
UACGGGGGGGGCAAGCGUUGUUCGGAAUUACUGGGCGUAAAGGGCUCGUAGGCGGCCAACUAAGUCGGACGUGAAAUCCCCUCGGCUUAACCGGGGAACUGCGUCCGAUACUGGAUGGCUUGAGUUUGGGAGAGGGAUGCGGAAUUCCAGGUGUAGCGUGAAAUGCGUAGAUAUCUGGAGGAACACCGGUGGCGCAAGGCGGCGUCCUGGACCAACACUGACACUGAUGAGCGAAAGCCAGGGGAGCAAACGGG